GGAAGACUGUACCUGGAAGAAUACAUGUUUAGGCUCCUCUCCCUCUCGUGGAUCUCAUUAUCAAAAACUUGCAGGGCUGAUUUUGCUGCCGCCGCCACUACUAAAAACAGCCACAAGAGGGAGCUUUUUUGCCCCACCUGAUAUUUUGAAUCCAAGGACCCUGGAGGUUUUCCUUCCCUCCUCCUUUAAAGAAAGUGAGUCAGGCCCAGUGGACUGCUCCCCAUGAAGCCUCCAGGUGCUGACUUGGGUGUAGAGCAGUCUCAACAUCCCAAGUACAGAGCAGUCCCCAUUCAGGCAGGUGGCCUCCUGGGCACUGCUCACCCCAGGGCUGGGCUCCCUGGCCCUCCUACUUCUUCCCACCCCCUGAGACCUCAGACACCCCUCCCUAUGGCGCAGCCACUCCUGGUGUAGGAGGCUGGCCUUGAGUUCUCUGCCCUCCGAGUAACCCUGGGCUCAUCACUUAACCUCUUGGAGCCUCUAUUUCCUGAUUUGCAGAUCAUCAGUCCCACUGGUUAUCAUGAAGCAAUAAGAGGUAAUAAACACCAAAAUGCUUGUAAUUGGUCAACACCAAGCGAGUAGCUGCAUUAAUGUUAACGUGGAGCAGGAAGCCUCAAGUCCAUUGGCUGGCAUCAUGCAAGUUUGUACUCUGCCUUCUGUGACCCAUCACCCCUGCUUCCUGUGCCCUCAGCAGACGAGGAGGAAAUCAAAGGGUCCUGGUCCGUUCACUUACCCAAGUUCCACAAAGGGAUGUUUGUAAACACUCUCAAGGCCCCAUUUCCUUACAACUGUCCCAAAAGUCUGACGAUUCCUCACAAAUCCAGGGUGAACUGGGGGCACUGGAUUUUACCACAAGGAGGGUCUCUCUUAGUAAAAGGGGAUGCUUGGGUCAGGAACGUUACCCCAGAAGACCCUACCUAGAAUUUCCCAAAUUGGGAAUUUGAGAUUAAAGAAAAAAUAUAUUUUGGUUCUGGACCAAUGAAAAAAGACCUGAACCAGGACUCAGGAGCUUUUACUUCCUGAGCUGCUAUGGCUGGGGGAGGGGGUGGGAGUGUCAGAUGUCACUGUGCCUCAGUUUCCCCUCCUGGAAAAUAGAGAUAACGACCUGCCCUCCCUAGCACUCCACAGGGUUUUCAGGAGGAUGAUGUAAGAUCAUUACAAUAACAAAUAAUGUUUGGCACUUGCUAUGUGUCACACACUGUUUCCAGUGUUUUACCCUUAAAUCCUCAGAACAGUCCCCUGUGACAGGUAUCGUUAUCCCCAUCUUCUAGCUGAGGAAACCAAGCAUAAGGGAACAAGAGCUUUAAAAGUGCCCGGCAAUGAUUAUCACGAUUGACCAUAGAUGUCCAAGGUCUUUAUACUUCUGUCCUAUUGCUGCCCCUUUUGGACACUUGGACUUCUAAUCAGAUGAUAGGGACCAUUGGGUGAAAUGGGGUUGCCUGGACUCUCCUUGGAGUGGGGCUCUUCACAGGAGUACUUCCCAAGUGACUCAGGGACCCACUAUGGUUCAAAUGAAGCGGGUACUCGAGAACUCUGCUACAAGAAGAAACCUAUGAUUUGAACAUCAUGAUAUUGAUGAUGUUCAUGAUACUGAUUCCCUGCCUUUCCUUUAUCAUCCCAAUCCUUUUCCUUAAUUUUCUUCCAGUUCUUCUCCAACCUACUCCCAACUCCCACCCCCAAAUUUGGUGGCUCUGUGAUUGUGUCAUGUGCCAUUUUUUGUGUGUGUGACAGCCAAGCCAUGCAGUCCUCUUGCAUCCAUUGGACUGGGGACCAGGCAGCAGAACCUAGAAGCUCUUUCAAUGCUGGAACCUGGUGUGUGUUGGUGGGGGAGGGGGGGUGGCGCACGUUCCUAUGGGCCAAGGUGCCAACCUGUAGAUUUCCAGACUUGAAGAUUUCAGAAGUGAACCACUUAUUGUGACUCUGGGAAUUCUCAGUAAUUAUGAGGGCAAACAAAUUUUGAUUCAUGAUAUGUCAGGCACUGUGUAAGCACUUUAUGUGCAUUCUUGUUUGUCUCUUUAAACUUUGAGAUUGCCAUUUCACAUUUAAGGCUUAAAAAGCAUAAGACUUGAGUCAUGGUCAACAAAUUAUAGCCCAAGCACCUGUUUGCAUAAUUAAAGUUUUAUUGGAAUACAACCAUUUCCAUUAAGCAUUGCUAAUGGCUGUUUUUGUGCUACAGCGACAGAGUGGAGUAGAUGUGGUUGAGACCACAUAAGGUCUGGAAGCCUAAAAUAUUUAUCCCUUUAGGACAAUUUGCCCAUCCCUGCUUUGAAACGAAACUGCCUGUGUUUCAAUUCAGUUCUAUCUUUGCCUCUUAUCAGCUAUGUGAAUGUGAACAAGGUUUUUCACUUCUAUGGCCUCAGUUUUCUCAUCUGUAAAUUGGGGAGAAUAAUAGACUCUACAUCAUAAGCUGUAGCACGCAAUAGCAGCAUCGCCUGGGAACUUGUUAGAAAUACAAAUUCUGCUUCAUCCCAGACCUACUCUGGGAGGCAGGCCAGGGAAUCCGUGCUUUAAUAAGCUCCCAGGUAAUUCUGAUACCACUGAAGUCUGAGAAUUGUUGACCUUGUAUUUAAAGUAGUUGCCCAUAGUAAGUGCUAAAAUUUCACUCGUAUUAUUCUUUCAGAAUGAUAAUUAGUCAAUCUAUAUAUUUCGUGGGUUUGUCUUGAAAAUCAGCCAUAAAGUCAUAAGCUCUUGGUAGGAAAAGUAACAUUUGACUUGCCUUUUAUUUCCACCUAGUACCAAGCAUGCACUAUGAUACUCUCUCAGUGCUGUUUGGGUGAACAAUUUCUAAAAAUGACACUGUUUUCCUGGGAUCUAUGAAGCAAGGGUGGCUCUGAGCACGUGGAUGGGCCACCAUGAAUCCUUGAGUCCCUGAAGUUAUGUGCAAAUAUUUGCAUUUGCUGUCAUGCAUGCUUCUUUCUCCAUAGGCACUCUAGUAAUUUCAUCCCAUUCUCAAAGACUCUCCAGAUUCUAAACACCACUGCUCCAGAGCACAGGCUUUCAUAGGUUAAGGGAAAGGACUCUGAGCACCAUGAUACUGGAAUGGGGUACGAUGGGCAGACCCUCACCCGUUCUGUGGUACAGAGCAGGAGUAGGAACCAAAAGAUGUCUUCCUCUGUCUUAUUCCCCCUCCUCUGCCCUACCCCAGCCAACUCUGCCCUCCUCCUCCCUGACUCUUCCUCCAGGACUACUGCUUCUAUUCUUUCAGCUGCUAAAGAAAGUGGGGUAGACAACUCUGCAUCACAUCAUGGAGAUGGCUGUUUAAUUUGAGAUGAGUGUUACAUUACUCAUUGCUCACGGCCCCCUUUGAUCCAUCAGCAUGUGCUUCUUUUAUCCCCGUGUAGUGCAUACAUUAGUGCCCUGAAUGCUCCGUGGUCUUGUUGUCUUUUAGAUGUUGUCAGAGAUUAUUUUACUCGGGAAAGCAGAUGGAUAUCUUGUUUAAUGCCAAAAUAAUUACUGUUUGGUUGGCCUGAUAGUUUAUUUACACUUUCAAUGUUUUUAUGUUUACAUCAAAAGAGCAUUGCUCAAAUUAUAUUUUGUCUGUUAAAGUAAACAGGAUAUGACAAGCUUUUUUUUUUUUUAAACCUGAUUUUUCUGUUUGAGGAGUUGGCUUAUUAAAAUAGUUAAAAGAUAACGGACCCAAGUGGGACUGGUCACUUAAGUUGAGAUGCAAAUGCACAGCUGCAUGCUUUUUAUUUGUAUAAAAGCUGGAAAGAGGCAGUAAACAGGGCUUUAAAUGAGGGGCCAUCUCAUGCAGCAGUUAAGUACAGACUUGAGCUCCAGCUUCAAAUCCCAGCUCUGCUGCUAACUAGUUGUAUGUACUGUAGUUUUUCAAGUGAUCUGUACCUCAGUUUCCCCAUCAGCAAAACAGACAUAGUGAUGGUUAUGAGUUAAAGGAUUUCACAUAUAGAAAUUUCUAGGCAUGUGCAAAAUGCUCUUUAAGUGUUGGCUAUUAUUUUGCUAAACAUACAUUUUGAAGUAAUUCUAUGUGUUUGAGGUGCAGAGAGGAAGCAGAUUCUCUAACUACGUGAGAGACUUAAAGACCUAGAAUGCGUCUCCUUGAGUAGCUACCUUCCAACACCUCUGGCCACGUGGUCAUCUUGUCUCCACGUUAUGAAGCAGGAGGUGUAAGUUCCAAACCCUGCCCUGACCCCAAAAAACAUUCCUGGUGCUUAGCUGAGCUUAAAAGGGAGGCUACUUGGAGAUAACGUGCCCACUGUUCUCUUUUUCAGAGAAUCAUCGUAAAAUAGUCCACCUACCUGGAAGAGUUUUCGCCAGCCACACAAUAUUAUUCAUUUUCAUGUAGCAACUUAUAAUUCAGCUCAAUAGUUUUUCAAAGACGUACAAGGGAGGAAAGCUCUCCUGGCAGGUCAUCCCCAAGAAAACCCUUGGAAGAGCCCCAGGCCUUGGGGAUUCUCUAAUUCAACCUGAGGCAGGAGCUCUUCUGGUUAUUUUGACCUAACUCUUGUGUGUUUAUGUUACUUUACUUUUCAUGACUUUGAUCUUUUGUUCCCAUAAAUAGACACUUCUAGAUGCUAAUUCACUAACUUAGUCAAACUCUUUUGUUUCUAGUUGCCUUUAAGCAGUUUUGCUAGCUGUUCGAUAAAAUAAAUGUGUUGGUUUAACCUCAGGCCUGCUUUCUCAAGUUCAGGUUUUUUCUCAAGUUUACUAUGGCUCAUGGAGCCUGAUCUUUCCUCAAGAUGUCACUUCCUGUGGAGUUCCCGCUGUGGUGCAGUGGGUCAAGAAUCCACCUGCAGCAGCUUGAGUUGCUGCAGAGGUACGGGUUCCACCCUGACCCGGCACAGUGUGUUGAAGGAUCCAACACAGCCGCAACUGAAGUACGGGUCACAGCUGUGGCUUGGAUUCAAUUCCUGGCCCAGAAACUUUCAUAUAUUGUGUGCAAUCUUUAAAAAAAAAAAAAAAAAAAAAAAA
ensembl:lncRNA